CGGGGUAGCGUGCAUUUAUUCCCCAGACAAAACCAACACUGACUAAUAAAAUUUGAUCUAAGCGUGUGGCCGCGGUCUUGUCGCUGGCUAACGCGAGAUGUAACAGUCUCGUGUGGUAGGUGGGCAGGGCCGGCAGGCUGUGCGUGUACGGGUUAGUCAUGUAUACGGUGAUUCUGAAUAACUGAUGCUGAUCGUACAGGGCCAUUGAGUGCCCACGAUAUUUCAAUCAAAUUCCUGCCCUAUCAUAUUUGUUGGUAGGGUAGCGGCCUACCAAGGUGACGACGGGUAACGGGGAAUCAGGGUUCGAUUCCGGAGAGGGAGCCUGAGAAAUAGCUACCACGUCCAAGGAUGGCAGCAGGCGCGCAAACUAUCCAAUCCAGAUUCUGGGAGAUGGUGACGAGACAUAUUGGAACUCACCAGCAAUGCUGGUCGAGUUACCAGAUAGACUACAAUCUAAAGCAGUGCUAAAAUAAUCAACAGGAGGGCAAGUCUGGUGCCAGCAGCCGCGGUAAUACCAGCUCCUGUGGCCUAUAUGGUCGUUGUUGCGGUUAAAAAGCUCGUAGUCGAAAUACGGCGUGCUCGAAAGCUGUGUUUGAGGCGAGCCUGCCCAGGAAAAACUUUUGUGCUGUGCGCAUUGCCUAGGCGUGUUGUGUAGUUGACUUAUACUCGUAUUGGGUUCUGUGUGUACCUCGCGGUGUGUGCGUUCCCAUGCGUGAUAUUGCUCCAACACAGCCUACGGCACGCCUCACAGAUGCCUGUGAUGCAGUUACGUGGUCUGGUGUGGCGCUAGUUGGCGUGUCUGCCCUCCGGGGUGUGCGCGCUGGUGUGCGCUGUGCCAGUGCCAUUUCGCCUUGAACGCGGCAUUAGAGUGCGCUUUCUCGUCCGGCUCCAGUGACGGUAAUACGCGUGCAGUGUUUACCACUGUACUACCCUUGAGUGGGUACGCUGGACGCUUGGCGAAUUGUGCCUUGAGUAAAAUAGAGUGCUCAAAGCAGGCUAGACAUGUAACAGUGUCAUUGCCCGUAUACUCCAGCAUGGAACGAAUGUCCAAUUGCUUGAACCACCCUGCGGCCUGGUUCGUUGGUUGAGCGUGUGAGCGCUCAGUGCUGGCAUCCCUCUCAGGGUGUUUUGUGCUCCAGGUCGUAUCCGUGGGAGAGUGUACCCGGUCACACGUUGAAACGUGUGUAUUUGGUGGCACCAAAGUGUGCAUGUGUUGCUGCGAUUUCGGGUGUCCCGUAUGUGCCAAUGAGUGUGUACGGGACGAAUUAAACCUGUGCGUUUGUGACCGGCUUUGUGUGUGUAGAUGUGCCUUGGUGCGCGCACUUUCACCUGUGUGAGUGUUAACAUAUUGUGGACGAUACGCUUGGCUGUCUUUUCACUGCUCAUUCGAUUUGCAGCGUGUUCAAUGGGCCCCGGAUAACAUGUGGUCUGUUUACUACACCGUCGCCUCACUCCCGCUGGCCUUUCUGUGCUGCGGGUUACGUGCAGGGGGUGGCAGAUUUCACCCGGGAAUAAACCUUGGAUGCGUGUGACUGUAUCAGUCUCGUCCUCUGUCGUCUAUAGAUGCACUUGUGCCACUUACCCUCGUUGGAAACGGCUUGUGUUAAGUGUUAGUGGUGGGUGCGCAAAUAUUAUGAGCCAUGCACAAAAAAAGUCUGCAAUUACUACCCCGGGAGUCAUGCCUCUUCCACGUAUGGGUAUCGGUUAACAGAAACAUUUGGGGGCAUUAGUACUUGGCCGCGAGAGGUGAAAUUCUAAGACCGGUCAAAGACUAACAACUGCGAAAGCAUUUGUCAAGAGUGUUUUCAUUGAUCAAGAACGUUGGUUUGGGGAUCGAAGAUGAUCAGAUACCGUCGUAGUCCAAACUGUAAACUAUGCCAACCAGGGCUCAGGCCGGAUCGUUUAUAUUGAAAUUGCUUCAUAUUACUGAUCCAGGUUGGGCCCCCCGGGAAACCUAAAGUUUUUGGGUUCCGGGGGGAGUAUGGUUGCAAGGCUGAAACUUAAAGGAAUUGACGGAAGGGCACCACCAGGAGUGGAGCCUGCGGCCUAAUUUGACUCAACACGGGGAAUCUCACCAGGUCCGGACAUCGGAAGGAUUGACAGACUGAUAGAUCUUUCAUGAUUCCGUGAAUGGUGGUGCAUGGCCGUUCUUGGUUGGUGGAGUGAUUUGUCUGGUUUAUUCCGUGAACGAGCGCAACCACAGCCUCUAUUUUGGCCGUACCAAGUGUCCGUGUUGAUGUGUGCCUUAACGGGUGUGUGUCGACGCGCGCACGGUGCUGGUGAAAGCCAGUGCCGUGUGUGUAUGCCGUUGACCGAGCUGGCGCGCAUAGUCGCCUUGUGUUGUUGCACGUGUGUGUAUGCUCAGCAGUAGCAACUGUGUUUUGUUCUGGGAUCACAGCUGAUGCGCAUUCAACGGUAGUGUGUCUCGCUGACAAUGUUGCUGGCAGCGAGUGGCUAGAUGGCGUUUGUGAUGAUACGUCAGACUGGCGCUGUACAGUUGUCAGAGUGUAGGCUGCUACCGGUGUGUUGGCUGCCUAGGCAAAGUGUUUUGGCAAUCACGCUGUUGAGUAUGUGUGCUGUGUGGUGUCGCAAGGUGAUGCGCUGGUAUCUUAAUCGGUCAAUGGGUGUUGGUGCGCCUUCAUAGAGGGACUACCGGUGGCAAACCGGGGGAAGUGUGGCAAUAGCAGGUCAGUGAUGCCCUUAGAUGUUCUGGGCUGCACGCGCGCUACAAUGGCGACGUCAAUGAGUGUGUUUUCUGCAUCGAAAGGUGUGGGUAAUCUUUGAAUCGUCGCCGUGCUGGGGAUUGAGCCUUGAAAUUAUUGCUCAUGAACCUGGAAUUCCUCGUAAGUACGAGUCACCAGCUCGUGCUGAAUACGUCUCUGCCCUUUGUACACACCGCCCGUCGCUACUACCGAUUGAAUGAUUUGGUGAGGGCAUGGGAUUGAUCGGUCUCGUCAUCUCUUUAUGGGACGUGUAGACUGGUCGAGAGCCUGUCCAAGCUGCAUCAGUCAGAGAA
rnacentral:rRNA from 1 species